GACGAACGCUGGCGGCGUGCUUAACACGUGCAAGUCGAACGGAAAGGCCCUGCUUUUGUGGGGUGCUCGAGUGGCGAACGGGUGAGUAACACGUGAGUAACCUGCCCUUGACUUUGGGAUAACUUCAGGAAACUGGGGCUAAUACCGGAUAGGAGCUCCUGCUGCAUGGUGGGGGUUGGAAAGUUUCGGCGGCUGGGGAUGGACUCGCGGCUUAUCAGCUUGUUGGUGGGGUAGUGGCUUACCAAGGCUUUGACGGGUAGCCGGCCUGAGAGGGUGACCGGCCACAUUGGGACUGAGAUACGGCCCAGACUCCUACGGGAGGCAGCAGUGGGGAAUAUUGCACAAUGGGCGGAAGCCUGAUGCAGCAACGCCGCGUGCGGGAUGACGGCCUUCGGGUUGUAAACCGCUUUCGCCUGUGACGAAGCGUGAGUGACGGUAAUGGGUAAAGAAGCACCGGCUAACUACGUG
rnacentral:rRNA from 1 species